UGUGCAUUUUAGCCAAGUGCUCAGAUGCUUGUGGUGGCUGCUUAUGCACCACGAAUGCUUGAGCAUGUGCUAUGGUACCUA
rfam:Mus musculus chromosome X, GRC primary reference assembly.